UGCAUCUUACUAAUCCUGUUAAAACUUCGGCUCUUGGUAUAUAAAUCUUCGAAAUCCUGGAUCAAAACGUUUUGGAUCAUAAAAAAAUUAUCUUUGGCCAAGUCACAACAAAGGACGCUGCUGAAGGGAAUUGAAACCAAACUGGAUAAAGCAGAAAACCCCCGAGUUUAUCAUUAAGACAAAAACCACGAGCAAACGGAAACGUCAACGAGAGCAGCUGCUGAGGGGGAGAGGGAGCGGGAGACUGCGGGCAGUUAGAAAUAAAGGCAACGGCAUCAUAAAACGCAGCCAUCAAAACGACAAAAUUAAAAAGUUCAAAUGCCAAAUAGAAAAUGGCAGGCAAAUUGUUGGCGGAAAAACGGCUAGAAAAGCAAAUCAUGUAUGACCAAAGCGCCAGCACCGAAACUUGAAUGAACUUCAUGCGAGCGGGGCAGCAGCCGCCGCCUCCUGGCCGAUCCAGUUGGCUUCCUGGAAACGUUUAGAGCUGCUCGAGGGCGCAACAUCAAAAGGCCAGCGAUUCCAGACAGAUCCCCCGAUCGGGCGCAACGAAACCCGUUUGAACAGACGACGCGCCGCGUCUGCCUCGAUGCUUCACGCCGAUCCAUCCAUCUAAACAGGCUUAAAGCAGAUUAAAAGGCGCCGACUGCGUCUUUUUUGGUUUAAUGCGCGAUUGGGGGCCGGCCGGCCGGCCACGUCUCAAAUGCGCCUUUGGCCCGAGAUCGAACGCGCGCGCGUUCCGGAAUUGAUCACACGGAAGUUCGCGGAGCUUCCCGGUGUCAGCGGAUGUGGAUAAAUUCGCGCGAGCUUUGCUUCUGGCCAGGGACUGCGACUCGACUCACUUGAGAUGCGAAUGGAUUCUCUUUAAUCGAAUGUUUGGUUUGGUUCUGUGUGCGGCACACACGUGCGUUCCACAGCUCGUUCGGAACUCGACUGAAGACGACGACAGCGACGGCGACUGCGGCUGGCGGCUGGCGACUGGCUUCGUGCGCUCUCGUCUCGUGUAUCUUUUGGAUUCACAAGCGUCGUCGUUGCCCGCCUCUGAUAGGCACAAAAACUGCGCUCGUUGAUGUUGUUGUUGUUGUUGUUCUUGUUGUUCUUGUUGUUGUUGUUGUUGUUGGAGUUGCGCAUGCUGAAGAAAUUCACUGCUGCGCAGCUAGAGCCGAGCCAGUGGUAGCUGUCUGAGUUUGGAGCGCAAAAGAUACAAAUGUAUCUGCAGGCUGUGCUUGUUCAUUAAUAAUCACGACAACUUGUCAAUGCUGCCGCGUUUUGACAUGCAUCUCCAACUAACUAACUAACUAACUAA